GACGAAGGGGGCUAGCGUUGUUCGGAAUUACUGGGCGUAAAGCGCGUGUAGGCGGUUGUUCAAGUCGGGUGUGAAAGCCUUGAGCUCAACUCAAGAAAUGCACUCGAUACUGGAUGACUAGAGGACCGGAGAGGAUAGUGGAAUUCCCAGUGUAGUGGUGAAAUACGUAGAGAUUGGGAAGAACACCAGUGGCGAAGGCGGCUAUCUGGACGGUUUCCGACGCUAAGACGCGAAAGCGUGGGGAGCAAACAGG
rnacentral:rRNA from 1 species